rnacentral:rRNA from 1 species
GACGAACGCUGGCGGCGUGCCUAAUACAUGCAAGUAGAACGCACAGUUUAUACCGUAGCUUGCUCCGCCAUAGACUGUGAGUUGCGAACGGGUGAGUAACGCGUAGGUAACCUGCCUGGUAGCGGGGGAUAACUAUUGGAAACGAUAGCUAAUACCGCAUAAUAUUGAUUAUUGCAUGAUAAUUGAUUGAAAGAUGCUAUUGCAUCACUACCAGAUGGACCUGCGUUGUAUUAGCUAGUAGGUGAGGUAACGGCUCACCUAGGCGACGAUACAUAGCCGACCUGAGAGGGUGAUCGGCCACACUGGGACUGAGACACGGCCCAGACUCCUACGGGAGGCAGCAGUAGGGAAUCUUCGGCAAUGGACGAAAGUCUGACCGAGCAACGCCGCGUGAGUGAAGAAGGUUUUCGGAUCGUAAAGCUCUGUUGUAAGAGAAGAACGGGUGUGAGAGUGGAAAGUUCACACUGUGACGGUACCUUACCAGAAAGGGACGGCUAACUACGUG